GGCUCCGUAGCUCAGUUGGUUAGAGCGUCGUGCUGAUAAUGCGAAUGUUGAGGAUUCGAUCCCCUCCGGAGCCA
rnacentral:tRNA from 1 species